CAAAAAGUUAUUUUCAUUGCUAAAAAUCGAGUUACAUCACAAAAGAAACAAAUUAUCAGACUUUACACAAAAAAAUAGCCUUGACCUACAGUUGACUUCGGUCAACUAUUGACUUUUUGGUCAACCAACUGACCAAAGUCAACUUUCUAACUAUAACCCUAAUUACAACACUAUAUUCACUCCCAAGCUAUCCCUAGUCUUGUUCUUCAUGGUUCUUGGUCUUUGUACGAAAGCCACAUGCCUUGAUUAAGCCUUCAAUCCAACCUUGCCUAAGCCCAUGUAGAUCAUAACUAACAUGAAUGAUCCUUAAUAGACUCUUAAUAGAGCAUCUAAACUAACCAUAUUAACUUAACUCAAACUAACAGAUUAAUAGGGUCUUGACAUUAUUAUCAUUUCUAACAUCAAUAUCUAAUCCAUUUUGUUUGACACUCUAAUAGACUUUUGUACAUAGUUAACUCAUAACCAACAUAACUGAAUUUUUAAUAGAAGUUAUUAACAGAGUAAUCCUGCUAACAAACUUACUCAUGUGAUAUCUAACUUUGUUAAUCUUCCCUAACACCCCUGACCGAGCUACCCUAAUUGAUUACAAACUCAACACUAUAAAUCAAUCUCUCCACUCCAAUCAUUAGGGGAGAUUCAUCCCCUCACUGAAAAUCAUUAUACAAUCAAAAGCUCAGUGAGAAGACUCUCAAUCUCAUUGCACCCUCUGAGCUUCUCCAUUACUCUCCUCUUAUACACAUCACAACAACACGAUCGAUGUAGGGCAACAUGAACUCGCCUACAUACUAUACACAGAAGAAUGGGUAGAAGAAGAUCACAUCGUGGAGCUUGAGUUUUGAGUUCUUACCUUAUCCGAAGCAUUUCUGGUUUUCUUAUCAUCUUCGUCUUCAAAGUCUUGCAACCUUGACCAGAGCAAUUCACCGCUUCGAAGGUAGUGUGUGUGUCCACCUAUGCCUUAUCAAGCUCAUAUAUAGGGUUUGAGAUCCUCAAUGCAAGAGAUCAAUAAAGAAAAGGUUCACAAUGGUUAUAAAUAUCAUAUAUGGAUCCCCAUGUUCUUUAGUUGUCAUUUUGAUCAAGAAUUCAUCAAGAGUUUGAAGCUUGUUUGCCUUGAAACCCCUAUUUCAUCUAGGUAUCUUGUGUGACUUCCUCAGCAAGUUUCUUCGUUAAUUGGUCAAAUAUAUCAUGGGAUAACUCAUUAUACAUCAUCUUAAGCAUAUUUUAUCCUCCAUGAGCCCAAAAUAUCACAAGAAAUUCAAUUUUUCAAGUUGGCUCAAAGAAGUUGACCAGAGAAAGUCAACUGGUCAAAUCUAGAAUUCCUUAACCCUAUCUCCUAAAAUUUUUGUCAUAUGAAAAUUAUUCUAAGAUAAAAUCUACUCUUUAUGACAUUCCAAACAACUUUCAUGUUGGAAUCAAGAUCUAAGUUUGCUUGGAAAGUCAUUUUUUAUGGUGAAAGAUUAUAGGUCAUUUUGUCUGUGCCAUAGAUGGAGGGUCAACUUCCAAGAAUUAUAACUUGCUCAAUAUUUAUGAUAUGAAGGCCAUCCAAGUUUCAUGAUUAA